rnacentral:lncRNA from 1 species
CGGAGCGGACCUACACGUAUAACGUCUCGGUGACAUUAGCCCCUGAAACGAAACGGACGUGUUAUUACUCGACACGCGUAACUCUUACACGUUCCAAACAACUACCCAAUUAGGCGAAACAAACAAAUGUACUCAUUUUCAACUCUCGGCGUCAUGUAGUCGGCCGCCGACAUAACACAUCAAGAAGAAAACAAACGAAUACUUGAAUCCAUCUCUAACUCCUUUUAGAGAAGUAUUAACAACAACCCAAUCAAUUAGCUUCCACACAUCCAAGUCCACGUU